CCUGCAAUACUUGCACUAGGUUAAAUGUCAAUUGUAUUGAUCGUUUAACCCUAGAGCGAUUCUUAAUCAUUGAUCAACUAUCUGAUCGGAUCAUGAACUCUAAUGUGUGUGACCUCAUAGAUCCAAACCUAAGUCGGUAGCAUAGAAAUAAAUUUCUGUACCAAUCGAAGUGACCAUCUAGCAGUGGUACCCGACGAUCGAAUAGGUCGAAUGUGU
rnacentral:lncRNA from 1 species